rnacentral:rRNA from 1 species
AGAGUUUGAUCCUGGCUCAGAAUGAACGCUGGCGGCGUGCUUAACACAUGCAAGUCGAACGAGAAAGGGAUUGCUUGCAAUCCUGAGUAGAGUGGCGCACGGGUGAGUAACACGUAGAUAAUCUACCUUCAAGCCCGGGAUAACCCUUCGAAAGGAUGGCUAAUACCGGAUGCAGUUUCAGUACACAAGUGCUGAGAUGAAAGAUUGCCUCUUCUUGAAAGCAAUUGUUUGGAGAUGAGUUUGCGUACCAUUAGCUUGUUGGUGGGGUAAAAGCCUACCAAGGCUGCGAUGGUUAGCUGGUCUGAGAGGAUGAUCAGUCACACUGGAACUGGAACACGGUCCAGACUCCUACGGGAGGCAGCAGUGAGGAAUUUUGCGCAAUGGGGGAAACCCUGACGCAGCAACGCCGCGUGAGUGAAGAAGGCCCUUGGGUCGUAAAGCUCUGUCAACUGGGAAGAAGUUGUUAUUGUUUAAUAAAUGAUAGCAUUGACGGUACCAGUGGAGGAAGCGC